UAACUCCAUGUGUAGCGGUGAAAUGCGUAGAUAUAUGGAAGAACACCAGUGGCGAAGGCGGCUGUCUGGUCUGUAACUGACGCUGAGGCUCGAAAGUAUGGGUAGCAAACAGGAUUAGAUACCCUGGUAGUCCAUACCGUAAACGAUGAAUGCUAAGUGUUGGAGGGUUUCCGCCCUUCAGUGCUGCAGCUAACGCAUUAAGCAUUCCGCCUGGGGAGUACGGCCGCAAGGCUGAAACUCAAAGGAAUUGACGGGGGCCCGCACAAGCGGUGGAGCAUGUGGUUUAAUUCGAAGCUACGCGAAGAACCUUACCAGGUCUUGACAUACUAUGCAAAUCUAAGAGAUUAGACGUUCCCUUCGGGGACAUGGAUACAGGUGGUGCAUGGUUGUCGUCAGCUCGUGUCGUGAGAUGUUGGGUUAAGUCCCGCAACGAGCGCAACCCUUAUUAUCAGUUGCCAGCAUUAAGUUGGGCACUCUGGUGAGACUGCCGGUGACAAACCGGAGGAAGGUGGGGAUGACGUCAAAUCAUCAUGCCCCUUAUGACCUGGGCUACACACGUGCUACAAUGGAUGGUACAACGAGUUGCGAACUCGCGAGAGUAAGCUAAUCUCUUAAAAGCCAUUCUCAGUUCGGAUUGUAGGCUGCAACUCGCCUACAUGAAGUCGGAAUCGCUAGUAAUCGCGGAUCAGCAUGCCGCGGUGAAUACGUUCCCGGGCCUUGUACACACCGCCCGUCACACCAUGAGAGUUUGUAACACCCAAAGUCGGUGGGGUAACCUUUUAGGAACCAGCCGCCUAAG
rnacentral:rRNA from 2 species